rnacentral:rRNA from 1 species
UAAUACAGAGGGUGCUAGCGUUAAUCGGAUUUACUGGGCGUAAAGCGUGUGUAGGCGGUUCGUUAAGUCGGAUGUGAAAGCCCUGGGCUCAACCUAGGAAUUGCAUUCGAUACUGGCGGGCUAGAGUACGGUAGAGGGCGGCGGAAUUCCGGGUGUAGCGGUGAAAUGCGUAGAUAUCCGGAGGAACACCGAUGGCGAAGGCAACCGCCUGGGCCUGUACUGACGCUGAGACACGAAAGCGUGGGGAGCAAACAGG